rnacentral:sRNA from 1 species
AAGUAAAAGUCGUAACAAGGUUUCCGUAGGUGAACCUGCGGAAGGAUCAUUACAGAGUUCAUGCCCUUACGGGUAGAUCUCCCACCCUUGUGAAUCUCAUUAUCUGUUGCUUUGGCGGGCUCACCCCCGCCAGAGGACCCUAAAACUCUGAAUAUUAGUGUCGUCUGAGUACUAUAUAAUAGUUAAAACUUUCAACAACGGAUCUCUUGGUUCUGGCAUCGAUGAAGAACGCAGCGAAAUGCGAUAAGUAAUGUGAAUUGCAGAAUUCAGUGAAUCAUCGAAUCUUUGAACGCACAUUGCGCCCCUUGGUAUUCCGGGGGGCAUGCCUGUUCGAGCGUCAUUAAUACCAAUCUAGCCUCGCUAGGUGUUGGGCCUCGCCGUCUGGCGGGCCUUAAAACUAGUGGCGGUGCCUCCAGGCUCUACGCGUAGUAAUUCUCUCGCUAUAGACCCCUAGAGGAUGCUGGCCAGCAACCCCUAAUUUUUUCAGGUUGACCUCGGAUCAGGUAGGGAUACCCGCUGAACUUAAGCAUA